rnacentral:lncRNA from 1 species
UAUUCCAGCUUGACAUAUCAGCAUGUACGCAUGUAUCCAAACCAUUUUAUUUCUUUCAACAGCCACAGCCACAAAGUAGAUAGUAGAUACAUUCAACAGACUAAAUUAACAUAGAAAUGAAGCAACAAAGGGCAGCCCGAGUAGAGGAACUACAUGGUACUACAACUACAUGGGACUACAACUACCAUUUCUAUUUCUACCAGCAGCAGUAGGGACUACCAAGGAGCUAAACGAACAGCGACCGAGCUAAACUAACAGCGAUCAUCCAUCAUCAAUCAGUGACAGUAGCAAUGAGUGGCAGCGGCGACGUUCGAGAGAGCCCCUCCCCCUGCUGCUGCUUGGUUGCCUGCUACUGCUUGGUGUGUUGCAUCACUAGUCACCCUGCACAGCAAGAAUUUUAGCUUUACAUAAGGUUUACAAGAACAAUACCCUGAUACAUGAGAUUGACAUUCACAAGCUAUUUUUCUACAAGAUAUAUUUUUCUACAAGAUAUGCAUAUGUUGAUGACCAUACAUACAAAUAAAGUAAAUUCAGUAACAGAUUGCUAUCCACAAUAACUACAGAUUUUGACCAUACAGAUUUUGUAGAUAAACACAUACUAGAAGCUACAACAGAACAUGGGUGUAGAGGUUACCACUCAUGAAUUAAUUAAUUUGCUAGCUGAUUGGUGGUAGAGGAGGAGGUUUAGCCACUUCAGGGGCCUAGAAGGCAGGUUUUGUUGUACCUUGAGAGACAGGAAAGAAGUGGACAGAGCAGCCACCUGCUGCUCCAGCCUGGUGUUCCUCUCAAGCACAGCC